rnacentral:rRNA from 1 species
GACGAAAGUUACGCUAAUACCGCAUAUUCUGUGAGCAGGAAANCAGGGGAUCGCAAGACCUUGCGCUGAUUGAGCGGCCGAUAUCAGAUUAGCUAGUUGGUGAGGUAAAGGCUCACCAAGGCGACGAUCUGUAGCGGGUCUGAGAGGAUGAUCCGCCACACUGGAACUGAGACACGGUCCAGACUCCUACGGGAGGCAGCAGUGGGGAAUUUUUGGACAAUGGGCGCAAGCCUGAUCCAGCCAUGCCGCGUGAGUGAAGAAGGCCUUCGGGUUGUAAAGCUCUUUCAGCCGGGAAGAAAACGCAUGGGUUAAUACCCUGUGUGGAUGACGGUACCGGAAUAAGAAGCACCGGCUAACUACGUG